rnacentral:rRNA from 1 species
AUUGAACGCUGGCGGCAGGCCUAACACAUGCAAGUCGAACGGAGCGGCGGAAGGGUAAGUACUGACUAGGAAUCUGCCCGUGAGUAGGGGAUAACGUCAGGAAACGGGCGCUAAUACCGCAACCUCUCAGGUGAGCAUAGGUCGGAUUAGCUAGUUGGUGGGGUAAAGGCCUACCAAGGCGACGAUCCGUAGCUGGUCUGAGAGGAUGAUCAGUCACACGGGGACUGAGACACGGCCCAGACUCCUACGGGAGGAAGCAGUGGGGAAUAUUGGACAAUGGGCGAAAGCCUGAUCCAGCCAUGCCGCGUGUUUGAAGAAGGUCUUCGGAUUGUAAAGCACUUUUGGUUGGGAAGCGUUACCAACAGAAUAAGCACCGGCUAACUUCGUGCCAGUAGCCGCGGUAAUAC